UUCAGUCCUUGUCCCGCCUGCUCUCUUGCGCAGAACAAAGAGGCUGCUGUUCUGUGGGAAAGAGAGAAGCCAGUCGCAUCCCCGGGUUCAGCAACGAGCUCUCCUGCUCUGUCAGCACCAGGCACUGAUUACACAGGCCGGACCGGUGCACCGGGCCAAGAAGCCCUGUGUGUCACCGGGAUGAAUAGAGACCGGCCCGACCAGCGUCCCUAAUUCACACGUCACUCAGUCUUAUGAGCAGCUGGAAUCCAGACCCACGCCUGAAUUAGCUCACUGCAGUGAAGCCACUGUCAUGCCAGAUGUCUGCGUAAGGAUUUACAAGGGUCACCACUGCACCAGCACACGCAUGCACUUGCAUAAAAUCUGCUGAGCCAUCGGCAAAAGUCCCAGAUCUGACAGGAAGCGGACCCCCACCCCCCUCCCCAGAUGACUGGACAACUGCAGCCACACAAACCCACUUGACCUGACAGAAUUGUUAUUUUUUAUUUUAUUUUUUCUUUUCAACAUUUGUGUGAGGUGCCUUCUCACAGGUGAAAAUAAAAGGGAAUGAGGAAACGUU